GCCAGAGCAAUAUCUCCCUGCAGUUCUUGUUUGGUUUCCCACUGAAGCUAAGCAGUGGUGAGCCUGGACAGUAUCUGGAUGGGGGACCUCCUGAGGAAGACUAAGGUUGCUACUGGAA
rnacentral:rRNA from 1 species